rnacentral:rRNA from 1 species
AUAAACGCUGGCGGCGCACAUAAGACAUGCAAGUCGAACGGAAGUCGUUAUAAAAAGGAUUGAGGAUUUAUCCGAUUGAGAUUUUAUAACAAUGGCUUUAGUGGCGGACUGGUGAGUAACGCGUGAGCAACCUGCCUACUAGAGGGGAAUAACAGUGAGAAAUCACUGCUAAUACCGCAUAUGCCAUGAACAUCACAUGAUGAAAAUGGGAAAAGAGUAAUCUGCUAGUAGAUGGGCUCGCGUCUGAUUAGAUAGUUGGUGGGGCAACGGCCUACCAAGUCGACGAUCAGUAGCCGGACUGAGAGGUUGAACGGCCACAUUGGGACUGAGAUACGGCCCAGACUCCUACGGGAGGCAGCAGUCGGGAAUAUUGCGCAAUGGAGGAAACUCUGACGCAGUGACGCCGCGUAUAGGAAGAAGGUUUUCGGAUUGUAAACUAUUGUCGUUAGGGAAGAUAAAAGACAGUACCUAAGGAGGAAGCUCCGGCUAACUACGUGCCAGCAGCCGCGGUAAUACGUAGGGAGCAAGCGUUAUCCGGAUUUAUUGGGUGUAAAGGGUGCGUAGACGGGUUAGCAAGUUAGUUGUGAAAGCCCUCGGCUUAACUGAGAAACUGCAACUAAAACUGUUAAUCUUGAGUGUUGGAGAGGAAAGUGGAAUUCCUAGUGUAGCGGUGAAAUGCGUAGAUAUUAGGAGGAACACCGGUGGCGAAGGCGACUUUCUGGACAAUAACUGACGUUGAGGCACGAAAGUGUGGGGAGCAAACAGGAUUAGAUACCCUGGUAGUCCACACCGUAAACGAUGGAUACUAGGUGUAGGGAAUUAUUUAAUUUUCUGUGCCGUCGCAAACGCAAUAAGUAUCCCACCUGGGGAGUACGGUCGCAAGGUUGAAACUCAAAGGAAUUGACGGGGGCCCGCACAAGCAGUGGAGUAUGUGGUUUAAUUCGACGCAACGCGAAGAACCUUACCAGGGCUUGACAUAUAGAUGAAUAAUUAAGAGAUUAAUUAGUCCUUCGGGACAUCUAUACAGGUGGUGCAUGGUUGUCGUCAGCUCGUGUCGUGAGAUGUUAGGUUAAGUCCUGCAACGAGCGCAACCCCUAUUUCUAGUUGCUAGCAUGUAAAGAUGAGAACUCUAGAAAGACUGCCGGUGAUAAAUCGGAGGAAGGUGGGGAUGACGUCAAAUCAUCAUGCCCUUUAUGUCCUGGGCUACACACGUACUACAAUGGCUGUAACAGAGAGAAGCGAAACCGCGAGGUCAAGCAAAACUUAAAAAAGCAGUCUCAGUUCGGAUUGAAGGCUGAAAUUCGCCUUCAUGAAGCCGGAAUUGCUAGUAAUGGCAGGUCAGCAUACUGCCGUGAAUACGUUCCCGGGCCUUGUACACACCGCCCGUCACACCAUGAGAGUUGGGAAUACCCGAAGCCUGUGAGCCAACUGUAAAGAGGCAGCAGUCGAAGGUAGAAUCAAUGAUUGGGGUG